UUCUUUUUAUUUCUUUUUUCUUUCUUGUUUUGUGUAUAUUGUACAACUACAACAGAAUUAGGUUAUAGGGACACAUAUUUUGGACACUUUUGAGUAAGUGUUCCACUUAUGCUAAAACUUAAAAACACAUCUACUAAUGUCUGAAUAUAAAGCCCAAUCCAACCAGAAAUAAAAGAUUACUCUACUCAACCCACCACACCCAGUCCAUUUGGCCUGAUUACAAACAGAAAAGAAAAAAAAGAAGAAAAAUCAAUUACCAUCUUUUCUUCUCUCUUCACUCAAUCCACUGAAAUUCUAGACAAAGAGCCUUUACUGUUGUCCUCCUCCACUAUCGCAGCCAACAAGAUAGAGUUUCGGCGGUUGCUAAAUGCUUAAAUAAGUGUUGGUAAAUUAGCAGCACUCUUUUAGGUUAUAGCGACACUUUUUAACUGUCACUAUAUACCUAGCGACCCCACAUAUAGCAACACUUUUUAAAAGUGUCGGUAAUUUUAGCUAGCAGCACUUUUUUGACAUGUACCUAUAUUUAAAAGUGUCGCUAUAGACCGUUUUUAUUGUAGUGGGUCUUCAAAGAAUCUUAUGAGAAAUUAGCCAUGAUAUAUCUUAUUCAUUCAUAAUAUUUAACAUCAAACAA
rnacentral:lncRNA from 1 species